AGUUUGUAGGUGUUGGAAUAAUUGUUACACACUCACACACUGCACUUUCAAAAGUUUUAAGUUGAAAAGUUUUGAAGUUAGUUAUGUUUACAUGUAAUUUGAAGCUCUAUUUACAUAUAGUUAGAACUCUAGUUUAAUUGUAUUAUCUAUGGACGGUUUGAAGUAUGAAACUUUGAAGUGAUUGACAUAAACAGUGCUGCUGAGAAAACGGUGGUGCUAAGAAAAGCAAGCGGCGUACGGAAGUUAGCUGGCGCACAAACAGUGUGGGUCAAGAUCCAUUCAAUCCAUAUCGACGCAAAACUAAACAGGGAAACCAGAAAGAAAAAUUGAAGAAAGUAGAUAAUACUGCAGAGG